CCUCGACUGUACAACUCUCUCUUUCUCUGUGUCUUUUUGCUUCCCGCAUACACAGAGCCUGAUCAGGCUCCUCCCCCAUCCUCUCUUCUCUCUUUCUGGAGCCUCGUCUCUCUCAUGUCUUCCCAAGCAAGCCUCCUCCUUCAAAAGCAGCUCAAAGAUCUUUGCAAGAAUCCCGUAGAUGGGUUCUCCGCCGGCCUGGUCGAUGAGAACAAUAUCUUUGAAUGGAGUGUAACCAUUAUUGGACCUCCAGAUACUCUUUAUGAGGGCGGUUUUUUCAAUGCCAUUAUGACCUUUCCAUCCAACUACCCAAACAGCCCUCCGACAGUGAAGUUUGCUUCAGAGAUAUGGCAUCCUAAUGUUUAUCCUGAUGGCCGUGUUUGUAUAUCAAUCCUACAUCCUCCUGGUGAGGACCCGAAUGGCUAUGAGCUUGCAAGUGAACGCUGGACACCGGUUCAUACGGUUGAAAGUAUAGUUUUAAGUAUAAUAUCAAUGCUUUCCAGUCCUAAUGAUGAAUCUCCCGCAAAUGUGGAAGCUGCUGUGGUAGAACUCAUCAAAGAAUACUGUGCUUGUGUGAGGAUCUUGGGACAGUGGACAUGUCGCGGAUUACUUCAUUGACUUUGAUGAGUAAAAUGUGAUAUGUGACUUUGUUCUCGGACACCUGAUGCCAACAAAAAAAAUGUAAUAUGUCAUAUAAUCAGGGAUCUGCGUGAGUCCAAGGCAACUGAGUGAAAUAUGCUGAUGAUACUUGGAGAAGUACCCGUUUAUGAUGAAUGUUUGAGAGAAUGGAGGAAAAUGUCUCAACAGAUUUCUUCUCACUAAAAAAAGGUCCAUGUAAUCUGGUGGCAGAACAUCAAGGAACAUUAUACUUCCGUGCAAAAUCCAGAAAUGUGGUGCCCGCCACCAUGUGUAGUAUUUACAAAUGCUGAUAUCCAAGAUGCCCUCAGGACUGCUUAUUGCUGGCUAGUGUCAUAAUGUUAAUAUGUACUGCUUGCGGGGUAUGAAUUAAUCAUGUGCAAUGGUAUUUACAAAUGCUGAUAUCUAAGAAAGAAUGGAGAGACAGGAGAGAUGAUUUCAAGAAAAAGGUCAGCCGAUGUGUAAGAAAAUCACAAGAAAUGUUAUGAUACAUCGUGCUAUGCUCUUUUGUGCUAGUGAAUGCCAGAGAGAGGUUUUAAGUUCUUGUGCUCGGGGGGACUGGUUCACUGGACAAUAUGUUGGUUAUUUUAGCAUGCUGCUGAAGUUCUCACACCUAUCUCUUAUUUUGUUCAUCGGCUUUCUCAGCAUGGUCAAUUGUAUGACGUGGGUCAUCUAUGUAUUCAAAAGGCUUUGGUUAGUGGCGUUUGGUGACAAGAGGUCUUGUUGGGUACUUUAUGUUAUCUUUUUGAGUAUCUUGGGAUUAACCCUAGGAAUCGAUUUCGAUUCUGAUCAAAUCUGGUAUGUGUUUCUUUUUUUCUAUUUUAUUUUAUUUGUUGUAUUGCAAAACCAAAAUAUGUAGGCAAGCUAAUAGAAAUGAUUUCGGAUUCCUCCCUAA